AUGCCGCCCGGCUCCCUUCACCCUCCAGGGCAGCAGCCGCCCCUCGACACCGGGGCCCUCCAGCAACCAGCCUGCUGGAGCYGCAGCCCCCAGCGCUCGUGGGGGGAGGAGGAGCCCGAGGGCUGGGCCGCGUCCCACCUCCCCGGGUGCAUCUCCCCUGCAAUGCUAAGCCCAUCGCACGCAGCAAGAGGUUCCUCGCAAUGCGCCCUGCACCGCGCCGCGGGCUCGGGCUCGGCAUGUGCCCACGCCGCGGGCGCGGGGACCCAGCGCCUCCUCCCUGGGCGCCUCAGAAGGGCAGCAGUAACGUGGCUGAGGGUUAAUUUUGCUCUCAGCCUCCUCUCAUUUUUAUUCUUUGCCUGCCUCUCCUCCAUCCUAUCAGCUCCUCUCCUCUCCCUUUCGGUCGGGUUUGGCAGCAGCCGUGAUUCACUGCUGCCUUGGGAGCUCCGGGGAGGGGACGUCGUUCCUCUGCGUCAGCCGCACACAUCCUGGGCCGGGAGCCCCGGGACCGGCUUUACGGCAGUGCGGGCACGAAUGCGGCCUGCCAGCACGGAGGAGGCCGCGGGAAGGAGCUCCGAGGCCACAGGGCAGCUGCUCACGCUGCUGUCAGCCAGGGGGGCAGAGGGCUGGGGAAAGCACCAGCUUCUUGGGGGCUGCAAGUGGGGAGCACGGCGGUUCCCGUGCAGCAGCAGAGGGGGAUCCAGGCCUAGGGGAGCGCCCAGCUGCGCUCCUGGCUCAAGGGAUUCCUUCUCCCUUUUCCCRACACUGACUCCUGGGGCAGAUACCUCCAAGCGGCCUCCCUCGAGCCGCUGCCAGGAAGUGGCUGCAGCCAACRGCGCUUGCCCUGGGCCAGGGCCCAGGCUGACUGGCUCGUUCAGCAUGGUGCUGGGGCAGGGUGCUCCCAGACGGCUCCUCCCGACUGUGCUCCCGCGCGGAGAAGACACCCGUGGGCGCAGGCUCCUGCUUCCUGACUCCCUCCCAGACCAGCCUGCAAGAAAUGCAGCGCUCAAGUGCAUUUCCUGUAGGCCGGGACAAGGUGCAGGAAUGUCUGAGCAUGGCUUUAUCACCCAGUCCUGCCUCCCUCCCAGAGCAGAUCCACCUCCAGGCUCUGCUGGGCUCCGCUCCGGCAGCGYGGAGCCCUGGCGCUCCCUUCUCUGCUCUUGCUCCAGCCCAAGGCUGUUUCCCGGCCAUGCACUACGGGAYGCUAACGUAGACCCCAGCGAGCUCUUCUCCGCUGACGCGGGUGACCGCAGGUAUCCAGCGGUGAGAGGCUGCUGCUUGCGUCUCGGCCCCUGGAUGAUUUAA
rnacentral:lncRNA from 1 species